rnacentral:rRNA from 1 species
CGCGUAGGUAACCUGCCUUGUAGCGGGGGAUAACUAUUGGAAACGAUAGCUAAUACCGCAUAACAAUGGAUGACACAUGUCAUUUAUUUGAAAGGGGCAAUUGCUCCACUACGAGAUGGACCUGCGUUGUAUUAGCUAGUAGGUGAGGUAACGGCUCACCUAGGCGACGAUACAUAGCCGACCUGAGAGGGUGAUCGGCCACACUGGGACUGAGACACGGCCCAG